AGCUUUGUUCGCGACACAGGUUCCGUCAGCCCGACGGAUGAAAAGGGAACACGGUGAGGAUUACCCAUCAGGGGCCGAGACCGUGGCUGCCCCCGCAACUGUAACCGCCGAGCUUGCCUCACGAUGCCACUGUGCGUUCUGCACGGGAAGGCGAGGAUAGCGACGACGCGGAAGUCAGGAGACCUGCCUGUGCCGGUCACCCAUGC
rnacentral:ncRNA from 1 species